CUUGGCGCGAAGAGGAAGUGAGGUGGAGCUGCGGACUGGAUCUCAGCCGUUCGCUGCCUCUGGCGGUCUCAGCUCGCUGCGGAGAAAAGCACGUGCCUCUCACUGUCGUGGUUUGACUCGUACUUUGGUCAUGAGGAAAUGACGAAGCGGACACACUGGCCUGAGUUCGAUGGAUUGAGACUUCACCAUCUGAGAACAUUGCCCGUUGGUUACAUCAGAAGCUAUGGCAUGCUGGACAAAAGACAAUGUGGGCAGCUGCUAAAGCAUGGGGGCUGCCCAUACAGCUAUCUGAUAUUGCCGAAGCAUGCUGAGACUGCGACGCUUGCUCUAAGAUGACACCAAGGUCAUUGCCCAAAACAACAGCCCACCUUGCUAGAGGACACAAUCCUCUCCAGUGAUGGCAGGUUGAUUACAUUGGGCCCCUCUCUCAGUCUGAGGGGGCGAGAUAUGCCCUGACCUGCGUCGAUACUGCAAGUGGACUACUGCAGACCUAUCCAGUGCCAAGAGCAAACCAGGCAUAUACCAUCAAGGCACUUACUAAGCUGGAUGUCUGCCUAUGAGACACCUCAAGUCAUUGAGAGUGACCAAGGGACCCAUUUUACUGGUGCAAUGAUACAAUGCUGGGCAGAAGAAAACAACAUUGAGUGGCGAUCCCACCUGGCAUAUAAUGCAAUGGGGGCAGGCCUUAUUAAACAUUAUAACGGUAUUCUUAAGGCUGCCCCCUGAAGACAGACUCCUAGUCCUUGCAGGGGUGGACAAAAAGACUCUAUGAAACCCUGCAGAACCUGAAUGAAAGACCUUGAGACAGCAGACUCAGUGCCCUGAAAAUGCUACAGACAACGUGGGCCUCCCCGCUUCAGAUCCAAAUUACGGGCACUGAUAAUCAGGUUGGUAACUGACCCCAGAUUGGUAAUGAGAAUAAUCUUCUGCUCCCUGCCCCUGAGAAUCUAGAUCCAGGUACCCAUAGAAUAAAAUGGCCUUGGAAGGUGCAGGUAGGACCAAAGUGGUGUGGCCUACUUGCACCUUGGGGACGAUUAUUGGAGAUGGGAGGCUCAGUAGUCCCUCCGGUAAUGGGUACACGGCCUAUGGAUAUUGUGGUCAACACUCUGGUCUUCAUUGCUAAAGGAACCCCCAUCAUAUCCCUAUGGCAGAUCAGGACACCCCCUUUGGUGCCUGAUACAAUUCUGCAGCCGCAGACAUCUGGAAAGAAGUAAUGGUACAGGCAGCCGGGGCAUGCCCCAGUACAAGCCAAAGUGUUGACCCAGGAUAGAAAUAUGGCCUGUAUCUUGCCCUGGAGGGCAAACCCUCCCCUCCUGGUACCCCUGAAACAUCUGUAUUACUCCCCGUGAGUCUUUGAGGCUGUAGAAUCACUGGAAGGAACUAAAUGUCAUCAAAGCGUUCCAGUGUUGCUGUCAGAUCAUGUGCGACACUCAGUGAUGGUCUGCCUGGGACUGAUGGAGUACAGAAUGGACCUGGACCUCAUGACUACAUACCUCCCAUAACAUCAUCGAGCACUGGCCCAUGAAAGAACAUAAACUUUCACCAAUCACUACUUGUCUUAAAUUGUGUCAACAUACAUUGUGAUGGGAAAUUGUAGUAGGAAAGACUCACCCUUUAGUUAACUCAAUCAUUGGUUCACUCUGUGAAGGGGUGGAGUGUAUGGGAACUGUUGAGUCACAGCCUGAACCUCUGACUGAUCACCUGAGGUGAGCACUGAGUCAGCCGCGGGAGCACAGGUGAAAGCAAUUCACCUGUGUGACUGAAAGGGGUGUAGCCUGGCUCCACCUCUCCUAGACCCCAUUUAAGAGCUGAGUGCCACUGAGGAAGGAUCUUUUUCUGGAGAUUGCACCUGUUGGAGUUUUUUUUCUGUGAGCCUACAACGUGGUUGAGCAUUUUUCCAUCUGUUUCAGAUUAUCCUUUUCCAAUGUAGUAAUCUUUCUAGCUUUACGAUCUGUGGAUACCCAUCUGACCAUGCUGUUUUGUGUAUUUGUUGAUUAUGCAACAGCAUUCUGUGUAUUUGGUGAUUCUACAGUACUACAAGGGAAUUUGAUGCUGGGGGAGUGUAGUCAGUGAUUCCAUAUAUACAUAUAUAUAUACUAUACAUAUAUAGAUAUAUAUAUAUAUAUGUAUAUAGAUAUGUACAUAUUUAAUGCAUGUUAAUUACUGUUUUGUUUGUAUAUAGAUAUAAGUUAAGCAUGAUGUAGUGAUGUGGAAUAAAG
rnacentral:lncRNA from 1 species